rnacentral:rRNA from 1 species
CCUACGGGAGGCAGCAGUGGGGAAUAUUGCACAAUGGGGGAAACCCUGAUGCAUCGACGCCGCGUGAGUGAAGAAGUAUUUCGGUAUGUAAAGCUCUAUCAGCAGGGAAGAAAAUGACGGUAACGGAUUAAGAAGCCCCGGAUAACUACGUGACAGCAACCGCGGGAAUACGUAGGGGGCAAGCGUUAUCCGGAUUUACUGGGUGGAAAGGGAGCGUAGACGGCAGCAUAAGUCUGGAGUGAAAUGCCGGGGCUUAACCCCGGAACUGCUUUGGAUACUGUGCAGCUAGAGUGCAGGAGAGGUAAGUGGAAUUCCUAGUGUAGCGGUGAAAUGCGUAGAUAUUAGGAAGAACACCAGAGGCGAAGGUGGCUUACUGGACUGUAACUGACGUUGAGGGUCGAAAGCGUGGGGAGCAAACAGGAUUAGAUACCCGUGUAGUC